rnacentral:rRNA from 1 species
AUAUUGGACAAUGGGCGGAAGCCUGAUCCAGCCAUGCCGGGUGUGUGAAGUAGGUCUUNGGAUUGNANAGCACUUUAAUUUGGGANGAAAGGUUUACACCUAAUACGUGUGAACUUUGACGUUACCCAACAAAUCAGCACCGGCUAACUUCGUGCCAGCCGCCGCGGUACUACGAAGGGUGCAAGCGUUAAUCGGAAUUACUGGGCGUAAAACGCGCGUAGGUGGUUCAUUAAAUUGGAAGUGAAAGCUCCGGGCGCAACCUGGGAGUUGCUUACAUAUCUGGCGCGCUAGAGUACGGUAGAGAGUGGUGUAAUUUCCUGUGUAGCGGUGAAAUACGUGGAUAUAGGAAGGAACAUCACUGGCGAAGGCGACCACCUGGACUGAUACUGACACUGAGGUGCGAAAGCGUGUGGAGCAAACAGG